UCAUCUAAAUUUGUGCUUCCUUUUCAACUAAAUUGACUAAAGGAACAGAUUAUUAUUAGUAAUUAAUUGUGACGCUUACCUGGCAACACACCAGGAAGAUGAAGAGAGUGAUGGCAGUCCAUAAUACCUUCUCUCUGAACUGGAUCUGUUGGACAAUCACAUUAUGCCAGGUUUCUGGAUCUCUGGCAGCACUGCACAGAAUGGCUUUAUCACCUCCAAGAAUUUGACUGGAAACAAGCAGACAUGAGUAUUUACAUAUUUGCUGUUCAACUAUUCCUCCCUGCAGGAACACAUGCAUGUCUCCACCAGAGAGCAGCAGUGGCCUGAAAAGGAUCUAGUUCAGGAAAUGCAGGCCGAUGAAGACACUUUUAAAUACCAAGCUUCUCUCAAGCCAGGAUGACUGUAAACAAAGGCAAAGUCACACGAAUGAAGGGAGUCGCAUGAAGGGAGUUGACAAAAUAAAGGAACACUUUACUAUGUCAA